UGGAAGUAGUGCCUAAACGGAGGAAAUAUGAAAUUUCCCUAGGAGAAAAACCUCAAAAAGGGAGAUGUGAUGAAAGAAAAAUAUAUAAAUAAAAAUAAUAUUUACUUCCAACGGAAGUCAGUCUCAAGCGGGAGAUAUGGCAGAGUCAUU